rnacentral:lncRNA from 1 species
CUGAAGUGGCUAGAUCUGGAUUACUCCCUGAGGUUGAGAUAGGAGUUUUAUCAUCGGAACCAUUGGGUUCACUUGCUUCCAAUGGGGGUGAAGCAGUUUCUAAUUCUGGUGCAGAGCUCUGAGGUGCAUUUUCUGGUGCAGAGCUCUGAGGUGUAUUUUCUGGUGCCGUUUCAGUAGCUGUGAUGGGAGUAGAUUCAGUUAUUGUUUCAGAAUUAGCAGGGGGAGGUCCUUCUAUUUGCAAUGGCUGGCCAGGUUGCUGCUGUGAACUUUGUGU